CACACGACUCUCGGCAACGGAUAUCUCGGCUCUCGCAUCGAUGAAGAACGUAGCAAAAUGCGAUACCUGGUGUGAAUCGCAGAAUCCCGUGAACCAUCGAGUCUUUGAACGCAAGUUGCGCCCGAGGCCAUUCGGCUGAGGGCACGCCUGCCUGGGCGUCACGC
rnacentral:rRNA from 1 species